CCUGCCCCGCCCCACGGGGCGCCCCGACACGCGGCCUUGGAGACCCCUGAAGCCCCGGCGGGACGGGGGCAGUGGGGCCGCUGCUGGCUCUGGACCGACUCUUGCGGGAAGCACCAAGCGCUGCCAUGCGAUAGUGAAGUAUUUUGACCUUAUGGAAAUCGAGUGUCUGGGAAGGACCCCCCUCCAGAGCCGGGGUCACCCUUGGGCUCGCUGCCUGCUGCCCUUUCCAACAUCAGUGCCGAAGGAGUCUAACCCUGGGGUCCUAGGAUCAUCAGCUGAACUUCAGGAGGUCUAUAUUCAUACUUCUCUGUAACAAUUUGGGCACUUUUCCUCUAAUAGGAAGUAAGGAGAAGGAAAUGAAGUGCUGUUAUGGGGGUAAUGACCCCUAUCGUCAGGGUGCCAAAUUUGCAGAGUUUCUAGGGAAAGUCCUUUUGAAGCUGCCGUGUGAGGCGGAGCCUGCGGGAAGCAGCCAACCCCUGGAAUGAAGCAGGGGGUCCCUAUUCCCACCCCCAACCCCCCCACACACUUCUGGGCCAGGUGUUUGGUACCAUGUAGAGUUUGGCAGGUAGUGUGGCAGGUAUGGGCUGUGUAGGUGAUGCAGGGAAACUGAGGCCUGGGUUGUGGGUUGGGUGGAAAGCAGCUGUGGCAGCCCAGAAGUGGGCAAGAAACACUGGUGACCCUCCCACACCACCCCUUGCCCUAAUUGGGGUCUUCCUUCCCCACUAGAAGGAAGCCUGGAGAAACCCUGGCACUGCCCCCUAGACGGCAUGCUGGUCUGGGGCCUCCACCACCCCCUGGUGGCUUUUGGGCAGCAAUGAAAGGCAACGGUUCUAUGUAGGGCCCUUGGCAGCGUAUGUAAGUGUGGACGCUUCUGGGGAAAGGUUCCCCAAUCUCACUGGACAAUCAGUGACAUUCUUGGAACAGUUCAAGUGUUACAUCUGUGCACACCCUGCGUGUCCACACCCACACCAAGAGCACUCCCAAGAGCCCUCAUCGAUCCCAACAAAGCUGAGCCACAACGAACACUGCAGUAGUUCCCUUUCCCCACCUAAUCUACACAGUGGUUUUGCAACAUCGAUAAGCACACAAAUACGUGCUUGGUGAUAGCAAGGCCUGACAAAAUCUUGUGAAUUCACUAGUUUUGCAAGCCCAGUUUUGGUUUUGGUCGUUGGAAAUUUCCUCUUCACUGUAUGCGUAGCUGAGAAAGGUUCAUCUCUUUUUUGGAAGAGUUCAAUAAGAAAAAUCCUAGGAUUUGUUUUCAGUCCUCUCUCUGUCCCAGUGCUCUUCUGUACCGGUAUAUACUAGAUUCACUGGUUCGCAUUCUGCAAUGGUGCUGCCUCCUUUUCUUAUUUUUUGCUGUUUGCCGGAAACAUUUCACAAACAACCACAAAUCUGCUUCAGAUCCUUAAGAACUUUAGCAGCUUGAAUGCCCCUGAUACCUUACAAAUCUCAACCAUUUUCCAGGUGUUCCUCACUGCACAGCUACUACCGCAUAGAGCUGUUACAAUGCUUUCUUCCCUGGCAAAUCGGGGCAGCCUGCUCAUUGCAAAACAAUUGCUCACAUAAUUCAUUUUGCCUGGCCACCGCGCUACAGGGAAUUUCUACAGACCUUUCCUGGCACUAAGUUAUCAAGCCAGAAUGAAAUUCAAAUAAUUUAGUAGCUCAUCCCCUCUCUCAGCUGUCCAAACCUCCUGCUUGGAUUUUAAAAAAUGUUCCAUUUUCAAAAGCCACUUUCCCAAUUUUGGAACAGAUGCCCGUUUCCUCAGUCACUAUCUUUACCUAAGACCAAGUAAAUACUUCUGGUCUGGACCUUCCAUUAGCAGCUCUGGUCAAAAAUGAGAUUUGAUACAAUGUCCGCGAUUCUUGUGCAUUGCAUGCUUACUGGCUAAAUUUCUCUUAUUCUUGUUUAAGUGUCCAGACCUAAAUGAAAUCUGGAGGCUGGUGCUUGGACUUCCCAGGUUUGUGACUCCAGGUGGGUGGACCACACAUUCCCCAGCUGGGGUGAGGAACUUUAAUUAGACACGGUGGAUGUUCUGUCCUGGCUUGCCUGAGAGUUUGACCAGCCUUUUGUGAGUCUUUUUUCCUGAACUGAAUUGCUUCCCUCCACUUGUAUCAUUAUUACCAAUACCCCUUGAUUUAUGAAACCCAUUAGCAAAACUUUUAACUGCAAAAUUCAUUGUGAGCCAGAGUUAGAAACCUGUUCUGUCUCCUGCACAUUAGGCACCCAUCUUUAUUUAAGAGGAUCCAAGGCAUUCAGCUUCCAUCUGCCUCACAAGCAGCUGCUUCCUUUCCUAGUGGGCUGCCACAGGAAGAUUUUAAGUUUUGUGGCAAAUCCCACAGCCUCGGGUUCUUGGCCUACGUCCAUUGACCUUGCUCCAGAAUAUGAAGUCAAUUGGGUAUCUAUAAAUUGAUCCAUUGCUAAAUUAGUCUUAGACAUAGUUAAGGGAUAUGGAUAUGCCAGGAACACAAGGCACAACUCCUCAGACCCUCUGCCAGUUCAAAGAGAUUUCUUUUUUAAGUCCUAGUUCUGAUAGUGGUUUGUCACCAGGUUGCAUAUCCAGUACUUGUACCAGAUCUGGGCUACUGUUUGCCAUGGAGGAUAAGUUCUUCAGCGUCAAAGAUGAAUUAUGCAAGAUGGCUGCUCCAAACGCCCCUUUCCCCUGCUCAUUCCCCAGACCAUUCGUUUAAGCUGAGCCAAAUAAGCACCCCCAGGGAACUUUUCCCUAAAACAUAGUGAGGUAGGUUUUUUUUUUGGCAGGUUCUCAGCUGAAAUGUUCCUGCCUGUCCCUUCUGGGUCUCCCAGGUUUACAAACAUUGUAAAUGCCCUAUUAAAAAUGUCUUGUCCAACUUCUCUGGCUGGCUUGAUUUCUCAAGACAGUAGGCUUCCAGCAUGAUACCUUUGCAUCCCUUCUCCUCAAAUCCCUGUUGCAUUUCAUUUCUAUUGACAAAUUUCAAGUUGGCCAAUGUGCUCAUGACCUUCCCCUUUGCCUGUGAAGCCUUUUGGUUCACUGCGAGUUGCUUGUCAUCUUAUUUAUCCAUUUUUACAAGUUCACACUGGGAACUCUGUAGCUAGGCCUUCAACUUCUGCCCCCAAGUUUUUCUUCGUGACUGCAAGUCACCUUGGUCCUCUCUAAAAAGUCACAAAGUAUGGAGAAACCACCAACUCAUUUAGAGUUCUUUUGGCCAUCAUUGCUUGUAGAUAUUUCCAUUAUCAUUUCCAUCUUCCAACAAGAGUAUUAAGACUUUCUGUCCUUGGACAUUUUGCAUCAACACCGACAGCAAAACUGCUUUCUGAUAAAAGUGAUUGGCCUAUAUUUAGGAUCUUGCAGGGUUCUUUCCUAUAGAAGUUGGACCAAUUCUUUGGUGUAAUCAUACUUUUUUUCUCCUUCACAAAGAGGAUGCCAAAAGUCCUGCUUUGUCUGAACCAGUAAAAACAAAAUAACAGCUGACAGUUUCCUUGCUAACUAUUUUCCCUCUCCCCCUCCAAUCACUUCUGUACUCGGGGAGCUCUCUCGGGGCUGCACUCGAAAUUAUUUUCUGGCUAGUUACAACUCCUAAUGCAUGCAAUUUGCCAAGCAAUCUCUUAGUUUCUGCAUUUAUGACUAGCCCCAAGUAUACCCUUCAGACCACACAACUUCACCCAGCUCAGACUUCACCAUGCAGCCCAAUGCCUUGGAUAAUAGCCUCUUAUUAUUUCCAGUUAUGACUACAGAAAGGACAUUGAAUCGCUCCUUCCAUUUAGCCUGAAAAAAAUGCUUAGCACACCCAUUGCCAGGUUUACUUAUAAAUGAAAGACCCCUUUGAUAUCUGCCAUUAUGGAGUAACAUAACAGUGUGCAGAGAGCAUAUGAAAGAACUAGCACUGAAGCAGAACUGAGGUAUAAGUGUCCAUAAAGUGUCUGUCUGUACAGCAGAACUGACCAGUCUGACUACAGCAAAUUAAAUUAUUCCAAGCAUAACUACCUCAUGUGCACUUACUCUGUAAAAGAGUCAGUUUUAUUCCAGAAUUGGAUGUCUGCAAAGUAGUUAUACACCAGCAUAGGCGAAACUGAAGUUACUCUGCUACUUAAGAAUCAUUUUAUAUAGACAAGCUUUAAGAACGAGGAAUAUGAGAAAGCAUCAAAGCUUUUGUUGUACAGGGAUCCAGUUCAAGCAUCUAGGUCACGACAGAGUUUGUUGUUGAACACAAACGAUCAAAUUGCAUGUCCAAAAAUAUUGCAAAAAAGCAAUACUUUUGAAGGAUGGUUGCACUGGGUCUUCUCACUUUUGAAGUGGUCAGAGAUUUGGGCUACAAAUGUUGUUUUUCACAUGUCACCCUGAAGAUUAAGGAUAGAAACACACAUCCAGCUGCUGUUACUACAGAUCAAAACAUUAAGAGAUGCUGGGGUUUGGAGGGAAAAGGUAUAAAGCUGGAAUCCUUGCCUUCUAGUUCAUCAAGAGCUGAAUAAUUACAAGGAGGGACAGUUAUGCAGAGACUAAGUGUGGAUGUAUAACCUGAAAAAAAAUGACUGAACUAAUCAUUUUGGAAAUCACCAAUUGAGCGGACAACUUGUGGAAAGUAAUCAAGGUGAAAAUACCAAUAGUAUCAAUGAAAGGUUAGUAGGAGAACUGUAUUGGGCUGUAUGACCUCCAGCAGUCUGACAACCUCAUAUGAUGCAAAAUUAAUUUUUUUAUGCUGCUGGCUUACAUAUGAUGUAUUCACACUGUUCCAAAGCAGACUAACUCCCUUCUUCUGAUAAUACCUAGUGGCACCUGUUUGGUCUUUUUUACCAGGUCACGAUACCACAACAGCACUUAAAUAAAGGGGAACCUGGAAAAAAAAAUCUUAACGAAUCUAGCUUCCAUCAUCACUUCAAGAGCUGUGUGGCGGCUAAUUGUGCUGCAGACCUCAAACGAACAGUGUAUGGAAUAAGACUAUUAAAACUAAAAAGAGUUUUAUUUAUAUCCUUCAGGUUUUGUGAUGACCACACUCACCACCCAAAUUUUAUUGGAAUUAUAAACUCCUAAAGCACAGACCUGUACCAAAUCUUCAGAUAAAACAAGGCCAGAUUAGCAUUUUUUGCUUACUGUUCAUCUACAUUUGAGAAGGAUCAAUCUUGUGGUUCUGAAGGUUAAUCAAAAGCAAAUGAACAUGAAAGGCUCUAAUUUGCUACAUAUUAUUCAUUUAAUUUGCAUGUACAGAAUGGGGAUUUUUGUUAUCUUUGUUUAAAUUUUAUCACCGUGGGAGAAUCACUUGCAUGAUGAUUUUAGUGCUCCUUUCCCAUCCCUAGUUCCUCUGUUUGGAGUUCAAAAUGUUAGCUGUGCCUCUCCCGGUAUUUUCCUUACUCCGUUUGAAAGGUACCUAAGUUGUACUAAAUCAGCUAGCCUUCUGAGUGGCAGCAAGCAGUCAUGCUAGCCAGGACACAUAACUGGUACAAUUUUCUUGUGCAACAAGUUACAAUCUCUGCAGUGCCUGGGAUGCUUUCUAUUUCUGCCUUCCCACGAACAAGUCUUAUACAUCUGUGUCCAAACAAGGACCACAGACUAGCAUUUCAUGAUCAGCAAUAUGGAUGCUGAUUAAGGGCACCCACAAAAAACAACCCUAUCCAAAUAGCGAUUUGGGCUCAGGGAGUUGGCAACCUUGGAAUGUUCUGUUGUGACUGGAUAAAGACUUAAUUAGCGAGCCGUGCUAAUUAAAAGUGCCCAGACAGGAAUCUGAUGAAGUUCAACAUCGAGAAAUGUAAAGUGCUCCACCUCGGGAUGAGCAACCCCCAACACAACUACAGGCUUGGUGGCACCAAACUGACCAGCACCACGAAUGAAAGGGACCUGGGGGUAAUAAUAGACCACAGCAUGCAUCAAUUGAUGCAUCUCCCGCAAAGCCAAGGCGAUUCUUCCACUACUCAGCACUGGUGUGGCCGCAGCUGCAGUACUGCGUCCAGCUUGGGCACCAGACUUUCACAAGGACGUGGACAAGCUGAGAAAGUCCAAAGAGCCACCCGUAUGAUCAGAGUCUUGCAUGGCAAGCCAUAUGAGGAAAGGCUGAAGGAUCUGGGACUCUUCAGCCUAAAGAAAAGAAGGCUGAGAGGGGACCUGGUAGUAGCUUACCGCUAUACUGGGGGACUACAUCAAGGGCUCAGUGAGCAACUGUUCACCAGGGCACUCCAGGGGAAAACUAAGAGUAAUGGCCAUAAACUCCUGGAAGACUGAUUCAGGUUCAACAUUAGGAAAAAACUUCUUCACAUUUAGCGUGUCCAGACUGUGGAAUAAGUUCCCUCCAGAGGUGGUGCAAUCACCUACCCUGGAAAUCUUCAAGAGGAGACCGGACAGCCACCUUGCUGGGGUCACUUGGCCCCCAGUUAUCUUUCCUGCUUAGCACAGGGGGCUGGACCCAAUGAUCUUCUGAAGUCCCUUCUGGCCUCACAAUCGAUUAAUCACGUGCAUCUGCAUCCCCAUGCUGAAAAAAUGGCAGUGGGACACUUUGAAUUAAAACCCCUUGAACACGUUUUAUUUCAAAGCACCCUGUCGCCAUUUUUUCCAGCGUGGGGACACGUGGGGACGCUGGUACACGUGACGUGGAAGGCUGCCAGAGCUGGAUUUUCAGCACGUCGGAGCAGGCUCCCCGCACAUCUAAUAGGAGCCCUAUGGGUUCCUUCUCCCUUCAUUAUGCACCAUCAUCUUUCCCUAGGAUUUAUUUUUAUAACAUCUUCCAUACACAUGAUCCUGUUUUCCUAGAAACGAGCUGGAGAAUUUGUCUAGAUAGACCACAACGUGAGGAAGGCAAGAGAAAGAGGAAGCAACCCAACGCUCUCUAAAGCGGUUACUGUUCCGCCUGCUUCCUGCAAACUAGCAAGGAGUAGAAGUGGAGCAAUCAAUUAACGUAUAGAUCGGAGAAAAUUAUGUCGGUAGUUAUAAAACUAUAGGGGCCAUUUUAAAUGGGCUGCAGGUAGGAAGCCAGAUGGGGAGACAAGUCUUUUCCUCUUUGAAAGGUGAGGCAGUGUGCUUGCAGCAGUCCAUAACCCUGCACUGCCCAGCAGUCACUCUUAUCCAGUAGUUUACAGAUCACUGGCAGGCCAGAGAAAAAGGAGGUACAUGCUGCUCACUGUCCCGUUUCCAGCUUUUCACUCUCCAUCACUAGAAAGUAGACAGGAUUUUCCUACUGCUUAAUUUUCUACAUGGGUUGAAGGGAGGUCUGGAAAGUGAAUGCACAAGGCUAGCAGGCAUCAGCUUUAUGAGAAUCAUCCUUAUGAAAGAACAGAACAGUUCCAUUUUACCUUAAUAUCUUCUAUAACAUCCGCAGCCAGGUGACAAUGUAGCACUACAUGAGACACAAACAGACCCCAGAUCUUUUUUUAAAUUUUUGUAGCUUUUGCCAAUAUUCGGAAGUAGCAUUGGGUAGUGCAUUUAUGCUCCAUUAGCAGAGCUUUAUGAUUAGCUAGUUAACCCAGGGAAAAUUUUAACUAAGUAACUGGACAUAGUUUGCUGCCUCUGCCCUGCACACCCCAUCAGAUUGCUGAAGUCAGCUUAUACAAGAUUAGUUUUUGUAGAGGCACGUCCAAAUUACACGUUGGUUUUGUUUGUCUUCACUUACCUCUCCAUUCAGUUUCUUUAACUUCAGAGGAAGGGGCAGUAAGGUCAAUCUUUCAGGGUUUGACAGAAGCAAAAUUAUCUCAAAUCAGUAGCUGAUAAAUCAACACUGAUACACAAGUCUUAUUUAGGAAUGAGAUAACUUGAACAAGACUUUGCCCCCCCCAAAAGAAACCCUUAGUUUGCAAAAUACAGCUAUUUUAUUUUCAUUGAAAUAUACUGUCUUCUUAUUCAAAACUUACCCGCCCGCCUCUGACAAAAUUAAAGUCAGAACGUAUUGGCACUACCCAGUUUGUAACCAUACAAUAAAAGGCUCCGAGUGCAGUUCUGAAAAUACCCCCCAAGAAGAGCCCAAUCAUGCCAUAUUUGAUAUGGUACGCAGGCAUUAUAUGUUCAAUUUAUAGGGAAAAUAUUCCCAUUUCCUGGAUCAAUGGACAAGCUUAAGUUGCAAUUUGAGUUAACUUCUUUUCCACCUACUUAAGGUCUGUAGGCCAAAUCCAGCCCUGACUGCGCAUAAGUUUAACUAAUUGGAACUCAGUCAAAUAAAUUUUGUUGAUAAUCACAGAAAAAUAGGACUGUGAGGGAAGCUUAAGAGGUCAUUUAGCCCAAACCCCUGCUCAAGGCAGGAUAAUUUUUGUCUAACAAUUCUAUACACGUUUUUGUCGAACUAACCUGCUUCAAAAUAUCAAGGAUGGAAAUUCCACCACCUCUUCAGUUAUGCAAAAGGGAGGAUGAAAUCCAAAUGUCUAUGAUUCCGUUGGCUUUGCAAGGCAAAGAGGAGUAGAAAGCGGCACGAAAAAUCCUUAAGUCAGCAGGGAGACUGGAUGUGCAGGAUAAAAUUAGAACCACUGAGUAGUAAGGAAGCAUGUUUGGUUAUUUUCCACAGCACAACUGAAUCCCCCAGGGCAGGGGGUCGGACUCGAUGAUCUAUUGAGGUCCCUUUGGACCCUAACAACUAUGAAACUGAAUUUUAAGUUCUUUACACGUACAACAUGCUGGAGGAUCACACAAAACUUGAUCUCUUGAUGCUCCAAUGCCAAGUCAUUUCAUUCUCUUUUCUUCCUCCUCCAAAUCAGGGCCCUCCAGGAUUAGAAGUCUGUCAUUUGCUAUUUUUUAAAUGGUUUGACAGCAGAAACUCAGCACCACUCACACAUUGGCCUUCUACUGUACAAGAAGCUGACAUACCUUUAUGCCAGUAGCUGUGUCUCAACAUGAACUUAGAUGACAGCUAUGUAAAAAUACAGGUUGGAUUUUAUUAUGAUUAUUCAUAUUUUUUACCAUAUUUAUAAUAGCUCAUCACCACUUUUUUCUGAUGCCCUGUAUGUUGAGAAUUUAGUUGUAAAAGUAAUGGGCAUUUGAAUAUAUGCACGCACUGCAGCAGCAGGUGUAUAGAAAAGUGCCUGGCACCGCAUCGUGUGCAAUUGUAUAAGCAGCGAAAUGCACAUCAGCGCUGAGAAAAUGGUGGCACACUUUUGAACCAACACACCUGGGAAGUGCUUUAGUUCAAAAGCACACCACCACCAUUUUCUACAUGCUGAUGCACAUUUCGCCGCUUAUACAACACAUGGCGCAGUGCAGCUUGCAUCAGCUGCUCCAAAGCAGUGGAUUUCCAGUGCAUUGUGGGAUGAAAAUGUGUAUAAGUGUCCAAUGAUUACAUAGCUGAAGGCAGUAUAGCAAGAAACCAUAUAACUGGUACAAUUGUCUUAGCACAGGAAUGUAAACUACCAUGCAGUUAUGACUGCAAUGAUAUCGUGCACGAAGUCGAGUGAUGUUAAGUUAUAUAGGAAGUGGGAAUUUUAGCCCCAGUCAACUCACAAAACUUUUAUCAGCUUAACUAAAACAGUAAUUAAAGCAGUAAAUCCAGCCCGUUUGGAUGCAUCCACAAUAUAAUAAUGUAUAUACCAUAUUAACAAAGGGGACAAACUAUGCUAUGCCCACGUUAGGGGUUGUACCAGUAUCAUUAUUUCUGUUAAAAAGCCAUCUCCUGAUUAAAAUAAAGUUAUACCAGUACAAAACAUGUAGAACAGGUCCAA